UGGGAAUUAGUUCAGUUUGGUAGAACGCCUGAUUUGGGUUCAGGAGGUCGUGGGUUCAAAUCCUACAUUUCCAA
rnacentral:tRNA from 1 species